rnacentral:rRNA from 1 species
CGGAGGUGCAAGCGUUAUCCGGAUUCACUGGGUUUAAAGGGUGCGUAGUGGGAAUGUAAGUCAGUGGUGAAAUCUCCGUGCUUAACAUGGAAACUGCCAUUGAUACUAUGUUUCUUGAAUCUUCCGGAGGUCAGCGGAAUAUGUCAUGUAGCGGUGAAAUGCUUAGAUAUGACAUAGAACACCAAUUGCGAAGGCAGCUGACUACAGGGGCAUUGACACUGAGGCACGAAAGCGUGGGGAUCAAACAGGAUUAGAUACCCUGGUAGUCCACGCCCUAAACGAUGGAUACUCGACAUUUGUGAUACACAAUAAGUCGUCUGAGCGAAAGCAUUAAGUAUCCCACCUGGGAAGUACGAUCGCAAGAUUG